rnacentral:rRNA from 1 species
ACUCCUGACUGACCGAUAGUGAACCAGUACCGUGAGGGAAAGGCGAAAAGAACCCCGGCGAGGGGAGUGAAAAAGAACCUGAAACCGUGUACGUACAAGCAGUGGGAGCACCCUUUGGGGUGUGACUGCGUACCUUUUGUAUAAUGGGUCAGCGACUUAUAUUCUGUAGCAAGGUUAACCGAAUAGGGGAGCCGGAGGGAAACCGAGUCUUAAUUGGGCGUUAAGUUGCAGG